rnacentral:rRNA from 1 species
ACUCAAAUGAAUAGACGGGGACCCGCACAAGCGGUGGAUGAUGUGGAUUAAUUCGAUGCAACGCGAAAAACCUUACCUACCCUUGACAUGUCCGGAACCCCGCUGAGAGGCGGGGGUGCUCGAAAGAGAAUCGGAACACAGGUGCUGCAUGGCUGUCGUCAGCUCGUGUCGUGAGAUGUUGGGUUAAGUCCCGCAACGAGCGCAACCCUUGUCAUUAGUUGCUACGAAAGAGCACUCUAAUGAGACUGCCGGUGACAAACCGGAGGAAGGUGGGGAUGACGUCAAGUCCUCAUGGCCCUUAUGGGUAGGGCUUCACACGUCAUACAAUGGUCGGUACAGAGGGCUGCCAACCCGCGAGGGGGAGCUAAUCCCAGAAAACCGAUCGUAGUCCGGAUUGUAGUCUGCAACUCGACUACAUGAAGUCGGAAUCGCUAGUAAUCGCGGAUCAGCAUGUCGCGGUGAAUACGUUCCCGGGUCUUGCACACACCGCCCGU